CGGACGGGUGAGUAACGCGUGAGCAAUCUGCCGGGAAGUGGGGGAUAGCUCGCCGAAAGGCGAAUUAAUACCGCAUGUGGCCAGAGGGGACAUCCCUUCGACGCCAAAGUCGCAAGACGCUUCCUGAUGAGCUCGCGGCCUAUCAGCUUGUUGGUGAGGUAACGGCUCACCAAGGCUAUGACGGGUAGCUGGUCUGAGAGGACGACCAGCCACACUGGAACUGAGACACGGUCCAGACACCUACGGGUGGCAGCAGUCGAGAAUUUUUCACAAUGGGGGAAACCCUGAUGGAGCGACGCCGCGUGGAGGAUGAAGGUCUUCGGAUUGUAAACUCCUGUCAUGCGAGAACAAGAAAGUGAUAGUAUCGCAAGAGGAGGAGACGGCUAACUCUGUGCCAGCAGCCGCGGUAAUACAGAGGUCUCAAGCGUUGUUCGGAUUCAUUGGGCGUAAAGGGUGCGUAGGCGGCGUGGUAAGUUGAGUGUGAAAUCCUAGGGCUUAACCUUAGAACUGCACUCAAUACUGCCAUGCUAGAGGAAUGUAGAGGAGAGUGGAAUUCACGGUGUAGCAGUGAAAUGCGUAGAUAUCGUGAGGAAGACCAGUUGCGAAGGCGACUCUCUGGGCAUUUCCUGACGCUGAGGCACGAAGGCCAGGGGAGCAAAUGGGAUUAGAUACCCCAGUAGUC
rnacentral:rRNA from 1 species